GGUGUUGCAAAUCACCCUAGAGGAGCCUGUCCGAUAAUCGAUGAUCCACGUUACACCUCACCCACUUUUGCCACAAGCAGCCUAUAUACCGCCGUCGCAAACCCACCUUCUGAGAGAAACACCGUGGGUAGUAUAGCCCCACCGCUAAUACGUCAGGUCAAGGUGUAGCCAACAAGUGGGACUCGAGAUGGGCUACACUUUCUCAAUGAGAAACCUUUUCCCUAAUGAAAACGGACUAAGUGUUGGAUUUAGCAGUAAACCAGACAAGAUUGUCUAAUUGAAACAAGCUCUGCAACAUGUACACACCGCCCGUCACCCCCCUCACAAAACCACCCUAACCUAAAUAAAACAACCAAUUUUACAAGAGGGGGUAAGUCGUAACAAGGUAAGUGUACUGAAAAGUGCACUUGG
rnacentral:rRNA from 1 species